rnacentral:rRNA from 1 species
AUGGGGUCUUGGAGGGUCGACGGUAGUGAUACACACGUCGUCGUGGGAGUAGUGGUUCACAACACGGUAGUCGAACUUGCCGCUUGUGGAACACGGGUCUUGGGCGACGGUGGUCGUACUUGGCGAAAUCCACAAAGGGAUCUUGGCGUUCUUGGCGAUUCCGAAGAUGGCGGUAAAGAGCAGGACUUGGCGGAAACCCCGAAGGCGCUGCUCGUUGGACUUGUGACAGAGGUCAACAGAGAGGUCGAGAACUUCCUCUGGCGUGAGGCAGCGGUGGAGACGCGGGAAGGAGGACUCGGGCAGGAAUUGGUUAGGCAGCACGAGAGGCAGGAGAAAAGGCGCGGAGGCGCUGCUGGAGAUGGUGGCGGAGCUAUCUGCUCGUCCUUCGGGUCACCGGUGGCAGGGUCCUACUUGCCGUAUGCGAAGCGAGGUCGAGGAGGAGGCCGAGCGCUAUGUGGGCGCGACGAAGGUGGUGACGCCGUGGUUCGCUGGCAGGAAGAGGCGGUGCAGUGGGGCGAUGGGGAUGGACGGAGGAGAUGGGCUCGCUGGCCAGAACGACGGCACGACGACAGAGGAAGGGGUUGCCGGCAGCGCUGUUGGCGCAACACGGCUAGAGGCGCGGGCGCCAUGGCGGGAGGUGACGUGGCUCCGGUGGUUGAGGCCAAACGGAGGGAGCGGCCGUAG